rnacentral:tRNA from 1 species
GCCUGGGUGGCUCAGUCGGUUAAGCAUCUGACUUCAGCUCAGGUCACGAUCUCACAGUUUGUGGGUUCAAGCCCAUGUCUGGCU